CAGGAUGGUCUUUUUAUUUCGGGUACACCUGUCCUAGACAGACCCGACCCUUGUGUUGAGUCUCUAAAGUCAAAUGCACAUGAUGCAAACAAACGUUCCUAUUAGGGAUCUGGCAUGAGGCUGAGUUAUUCUUGGUUUAAAAUCUGGGUAUGUGUUCUAGACCGUGUACCCGAGCGGACAACUUGAGCCGAGGAGGGGGCUACGUACCGGGAACCAAAAGGCCAUCCAGCUUAGUAACUUGUCCGAGCCUCUUUCUUAUUUCAAGGUAUGACACUAACAGAAUAGGGAGUCUCGACCAGCGAGCACAUACCCGAAGAUGAGAAGAGAAGGGUUUCGUAGCAGUUUAUAUACAGUUCUGAUAAUAUCAAAGCAGUAAAAGCCUCAUUUAACACAUUAGGCCCAAGCAUGUAAUAAAAUCAUAUAACAGACAAAGCCAAAUACAACAAUUCAUCUAAGCUUGAAUUCUGAACCCUGAACCAGAGAUUCUGGGUUUUAAUCCCCAGCAGAGUCGCCAGAGCUGUCACACCUCCUUUUUCACCUACACCCCCGGAAGGGGAGUAUAAGGGAGUUUUCCCAACUUAAAGUGACAAUAGAAACAGGAUUAUUUUUAUGUAAAAUUCAGAGUCGCCACUUGGGAUAAUUUAUGGUGUCCCACGUCACCGGUUCAAAUCCCGAAUCGAGGAAAAGAUUGACUAUGUAUUACAGUCCGCGAAUACAGAAAUCCGGGUAAGGAAUUCUGUUAACCCGGGAGAAGGUAUUAGGCAUUCCCGAGUUCCGUGGUUCUAGCACGGUCGCUCAACUGUUAUAAUUGGCCUAUUAUCUAAUUUUAAACAUGUUUUAACCUAUGGUGCAAUUUUAAACCUUUAACCGCUUUUAUUCAUUUUUAAAGAAAAUUGCAACAUCAUUUAAAAUAUGUUUUGAACCACGUCACAUAAAUGCACCUGCGGUCCACGUCACAUUUUAUCUAACGUUGUUGAGAUUUGGAUUUGGGUCACAUAAAUGCACACCCAAGUUUAGGAAAGAAAUCUAAAUUACAUGCCUAAAGAAACUAGGCUUUUUAAUAUUAUUUCCUACAUUUGAGAUUAAUGUGAGGCCAUAAACUAGGAAUUAUUUGUGGGAUA
rnacentral:lncRNA from 1 species